rnacentral:rRNA from 1 species
ACUUUAAGGAUACUGCCAGUGACAAACUGGAGGAAGGCGGGGACGACGUCAAGUCAUCAUGGCCCUUACGGCCAGGGCUACACACGUGCUACAAUGGUCGGUACAAAGGGUUGCUACACAGCGAUGUGAUGCUAAUCUCAAAAAGCCGAUCGUAGUCCGGAUUGGAGUCUGCAACUCGACUCCAUGAAGUCGGAAUCGCUAGUAAUCGCGGAUCAGAAUGCCGCGGUGAAUACGUUCCCGGGCCUUGUACACACCGCCCGUCACACCAUGGGAGUUUGUUGCACCAGAAGUAGCUAGCCUAACUGCAAAGAGGGCGGUUACCACGGUGUGGCCGAUGACUGGGGUGAAGUCGUAACAAGGUAGCCGUAGGGGAACCUGCGGCUGGAUCACCUCCUUA